AGGAUGAACGCUGGCGGCGUGCUUAACACAUGCAAGUCGAACGAUGAAGCAGAGCUUGCUCUGUGGAUUAGUGGCGAACGGGUGAGUAACACGUGAGUAACCUGCCCCAGACUCUGGGAUAAGCACUGGAAACGGUGUCUAAUACCGGAUACGAGCUUCAGCCGCAUGGCUAGGAGCUGGAAAGAAUUUCGGUCUGGGAUGGACUCGCGGCCUAUCAGCUAGUUGGUGAGGUAAUGGCCCACCAAGGCGACGACGGGUAGCCGGCCUGAGAGGGUGACCGGCCACACUGGGACUGAGACACGGCCCAGACUCCUACGGGAGGCAGCAGUGGGGAAUAUUGCACAAUGGGCGCAAGCCUGAUGCAGCAACGCCGCGUGAGGGAUGACGGCCUUCGGGUUGUAAACCUCUUUAGUAGGAAGAAGCGAAAGUGACGGUACCUGCAGAAAAGCACCGGCUAACACGUGCCAGCAGCCGCGGUAAU
rnacentral:rRNA from 1 species